GACUCGAUGGUGUAGUUGGUUAUCACUUCUGUCUAACAAGCAAACUUGUUCCACAGGCGGUCGUCAGUUCGAGUCUGGCUCGAGUCA